rnacentral:lncRNA from 1 species
CUUAAAUCAAUAGUGCUCUCAAAAGCUUGCUUCUGACUUGGUAAAGUAUCAAACCUCUCUCCGAUAUUUCAGGUAAACCUCUCAGUGCAUAGUAUGAUUAUCAUCUUGAAUGGAUCCGAUUUUGAAGAGAAGAAGUUCUCCUCUUCUUGACUGACCAUUGAUCUCACUUUAUCAAGAGCUGCUUUGUAAGUACUGUUUACAUCCCUGAAAUACAUACAUUAUAGACUUGAUAGUUAAAGUAUUGUGUUUUGUCUUGACUAUGUUGAAAUUCUUUUAUCUCUCCAAAUGUCUGUACUCCAAAUAGUACACUCAUAAUAAAUGCUUGUUGAAUCAAUAUAAGUACCA